AGUAGUUUACUGCAGAGGUUGACGUUGCAAGAUGAUGAGGCUGACGAUCUGAUCUGGGAAGAAGAACUUGAUGUCGAGGAAAUCAAACCUAAGUGGCUAGCCUUGGGGCGAUUGCUCACGACGAAAACUUACGGCCAUAGUGCUUUGAUUGCAGAUAUGAGGGCUGCAUGGAAUCCCACCCUGCAGGUGGUUUGGAGAAGGAUUGAUGCAAUUUUCUUUUCGGUUCAGUUUAACUGUCUUGGAGAUUGGAAUAAGGCUAUAUCAGGGGCCGUGGGACUUCAAAGGCCAUGCUGUGAUCCUGACAGAAUACGAUGGGUUCACCAAUCAAGAGAAGGUCAAACUAGAUAA
rnacentral:rRNA from 1 species